UCAAGCGAAUAAGCGCACACGGUGGAUGCCUUGGCGGUCAGAGGCGAUGAAGGACGUGGCAGCCUGCGAAAAGUAUCGGGGAGCUGGCAACAAGCUUUGAUCCGGUAAUGUCCGAAUGGGGAAACCCACCCGCUUGCGGGUAUCCUGCAGUGAAUACAUAGCUGCUGGAAGCGAACCUGGUGAACUGAAAUAUCUAAGUAACCAGAGGAAAAGAAAUCAACCGAGAUUCCGUAAGUAGCGACGAGCGAACGCGGACUAGCCCUUAAGCUGAUUUGGUUCUAGGAAAACGCUCUGGAAAGAGCGGCCAUAGAAGGUGAUAGCCCUGUAUCUGAAAGGGCCACUUCAGUGAAGACGAGUAGGGCGGGGCACGUGAAACCCUGUCUGAACAUGGGGGGACCAUCCUCCAAGGCUAAAUACUACUGACCGACCGAUAGUGAACCAGUACCGUGAGGGAAAGGCGAAAAGAACCCCGGAGAGGGGAGUGAAAUAGAACCUGAAACCGUGUGCGUACAAGCAGUAGGAGCUCCGCAAGGAGUGACUGCGUACCUUUUGUAUAAUGGGUCAGCGACUUACUGUUCGUGGCAAGCUUAACCGUAUAGGGGAGGCGAAGGGAAACCGAGUCUGAUAAGGGCGCAUAGUCGCGGGCAGUAGACCCGAAACCGGGUGAUCUAGUCAUGCCCAGGGUGAAGGUGCGGUAACACGCACUGGAGGCCCGAACCCACUCCCGUUGCAAAGGUAGGGGAUGAGGUGUGAUUAGGAGUGAAAAGCUAAUCGAACCCGGAGAUAGCUGGUUCUCCUCGAAAGCUAUUUAGGUAGCGCCUCAUAUGUAUCCUCUCGGGGGUAGAGCACUGUUAUGGCUAGGGGGUCAUCGCGACUUACCAAACCAUUGCAAACUCCGAAUACCGAGACGGACUGUAUGGGAGACACACGGCGGGUGCUAACGUCCGUCGUGAAAAGGGAAACAACCCAGACCCACAGCUAAGGUCCCAAAUUCACUGCUAAGUGGAAAACCAUGUGGAAAGGCACAGACAGCCAGGAGGUUGGCUUAGAAGCAGCCACCCUUUAAAGAAAGCGUAAUAGCUCACUGGUCGAGUCGGUCUGCGGGGAAGAUUUAACGGGGCUAAGCAGUGAACCGAAGCUUGGGGUGCAUAACUUUGUUAUGCGCGGUAGAGGAGCGUUCCGUAAGCCGUUGAAGGUGGAUUGAGAAGUCUGCUGGAGGUAUCGGAAGUGCGAAUGCUGACAUGAGUAACGAUAAUGCGGGUGAAAAACCCGCACGCCGAAAGCCCAAGGUUUCCUUGCGCAACGUUAAUCGGCGCAGGGUGAGUCGGCCCCUAAGGCGAGGACGAAAGUCGUAGUCGAUGGGAAGCAGGUUAAUAUUCCUGCACCUCGCGUAAGUGCGAUGGAGGGACGGAGAAGGUUAGGUGUACCAGGCGUUGGUUGUCCUGGGGAAAGGCGGUAGGUUUGGAUCUUUGGCAAAUCCGGGAUCCUUUAAGACCGAGCACCGAGACGAGCCUUUAAGGCGAAGUCACUGAUACCACGCUUCCAGGAAAAGCUCCUAAGCUUCAGCUUACGCAGACCGUACCGUAAACCGACACAGGUGGGUAGGAUGAGAAUUCUCAGGCGCUUGAGAGAACUCGGGUGAAGGAACUAGGCAACAUGGCACCGUAACUUCGGGAGAAGGUGCACCCUUUUUGGUGGCUCAUGCGAGCUAUAGCUGAAGAGGGUCGCAGUAACCAGGCCGCUGCGACUGUUUAUCAAAAACACAGCACUCUGCAAACACGAAAGUGGACGUAUAGGGUGUGACGCCUGCCCGGUGCUGGAAGGUUAAUUGAUGGGGUCAGCCGCAAGGCGAAGCUCUUGAUCGAAGCCCCAGUAAACGGCGGCCGUAACUAUAACGGUCCUAAGGUAGCGAAAUUCCUUGUCGGGUAAGUUCCGACCUGCACGAAUGGCGUAACGACAGCGGCGCUGUCUCCACCCGAGACUCAGUGAAAUUGAAAUCGCUGUGAAGAUGCAGCGUUCCCGUGGCAAGACGGAAAGACCCCGUGAACCUUUACUAUAGCUUUACACUGAACGUUGAGUUCGUCUGUGUAGGAUAGGUGGGAGGCUAUGAAACUGUGGCGCCAGCUGCAGCGGAGCCAUCCUUGAAAUACCACCCUGUCGUGCUUGACGUUCUAACCUGGGCCCAUUAUCUGGGUCGGGGACCGUGUAUGGUGGGUAGUUUGACUGGGGCGGUCUCCUCCUAAAGAGUAACGGAGGAGCUCGAAGGUACGCUCAGCGCGGUCGGACAUCGCGCACUGUGUGCAAAGGCAUAAGCGUGCUUGACUGCAAGAUCGACGGAUCAAGCAGGUAGGAAACUAGGACUUAGUGAUCCGGUGGUUCUGUAUGGAAGGGCCAUCGCUCAACGGAUAAAAGGUACUCCGGGGAUAACAGGCUGAUACCGCCCAAGAGUUCAUAUCGACGGCGGUGUUUGGCACCUCGAUGUCGGCUCAUCACAUCCUGGGGCUGUAGUCGGUCCCAAGGGUAUGGCUGUUCGCCAUUUAAAGUGGUACGCGAGCUGGGUUCAGAACGUCGUGAGACAGUUCGGUCCCUAUCUGCCAUGGGCGUUGGAGAUUUGAGAGGGGCUGCUCCUAGUACGAGAGGACCGGAGUGGACGAACCUCUGGUGUUCCGGUUGUCACGCCAGUGGCAUUGCCGGGUAGCUAUGUUCGGAAGCGAUAACCGCUGAAAGCAUCUAAGCGGGAAGCGCGCCUCAAGAUGAGAUCUCCCGGGGCACAAGCCCCCUGAAGGAACCAUGUAGACUACGUGGUUGAUAGGUCAGGUGUGUAAGUACAGCAAUGUAUUGAGCUAACUGAUACUAAUGAUCCGUGCGGCUUGACCAU
rnacentral:rRNA from 1 species